rfam:Triticum aestivum genome assembly, contig: Triticum_aestivum_CS42_TGACv1_scaffold_556327_7AL
AAAAUACUCCCUCCGUCCCAAAAUUCUUGUCUUAGAUUUGUCUAGAUACGGAUGUAUCUAACACUAAAAUGUAACUAGAUACAUCCGUAUCUAGACAAAUCUAAGACAAGAAUUUUGGGACGGAGGGAGUAUGUC